CUUCUUCCCUAAUUGAAGCUAAAUCCAACCGAUGAUUCGACAACAAUUGUUUAAAAAUGGACUGAUGGUGGCUCGAUGGAUAUCUUUGCAACUUAAAUAAAACCAUUGGGCACAACUACUUAUCAUCAGCUUGCAAGCUGCUGUCCAUUAAAGACUUCAUCAAUUAACAACUUGUUGACACCCCUCCAUGCAAGAUUAAGAAAAACAAAACUUAAGUGAAAGACCAAAGGUAUAAGGGUUUCCUAGCC
rnacentral:lncRNA from 1 species